rnacentral:rRNA from 1 species
UACAGAGGUCCCAAGCGUUGUUCGGAUUCACUGGGCGUAAAGGGUGCGUAGGUGGUCGGGUAAGUUUGAUGUGAAAUCUCCGGGCUUAACCCGGAAACUGCAUUGAAUACUAUUCGGCUGGAGGGUUGGAGGGGGGACUGGAAUACUUGGUGUAGCAGUGAGAUGCGUAGAUAUCAAGUGGAACACAAGUGGCGAAGGCGAGUCCCUAGACAACUCCUGACACUGAGGCACGAAAGCUAGGGGAGUAAACAGG